AACUUUUAUUGAUAUAUAAUUGGAAUUCUUCUGUGUUAUCAAUCACGGUUUUACAAUAAUUUCACGGUCUAUUAUUAUAAUUUAAUUGUUUCAUCUUUAGUGAACACUCUUACUUUUGAAACCGUUUACUUUGAAAGUUUCACUUCCGUUUCCGUUUUUAUGCGCGUUGCUGUUAACUUCCCUGCCACUUUAAAACUAUUUGAGGCAAUAUUGGCUUCUACAUUUCUGUCUUUUUAAAAGAAGUGAACUGAAGUAAUGCUGUAAAUAAACUGUAGAUAAUAACACCGAUCAAUGUGGAUGUGAAAUGAACACAAGAUGUAAAUAUGAGUGACUGAACCAUAUUCAGUGAUUCAUGAGGAUAAUUGGGACAAUGUUUGAGGACGUUAGCGGUUUUGGAGCCUGGCACAGAAGAUGGUGCGUCCUGCCAGGGUACUGCAUCUCCUACUGGACCUACCCCGAUGACGAAAGGCGCAAGGUGGAGAUGUGUGGAAUCUGGGCGGUGUUUGGCAGCGAGAGCUGCAUGUCUCUGCACUGCAGCAACGCCAUGAAGAUCGCUCACCGAGGACCUGACGGCUUCCGCUUCGAGAGCGUGGAGGGGAUGACCAACUGCUGCUUCGGCUUCCACCGCCUGGUCAUCCAGGAGAAGCUGCACGGCAUGCAGCCUCUACGCGGCAUGCAGCCUCUACGGGUCCACAACUUCCCCUCCCUGUGGCUCUGCUACAACGGAGAGAUUUACAACCAUCGCUUGCUGAGCAAACAUUUUGACUUUGAGUGCCAGACUGAAAUAGACGGAGAGAUCCUGCUUCAUCUUUACGAUCGCUUCGGCAUCGAGAAGGCGGCGACUCUUUUGGACGGAACCUUCGCCUUCGUGCUCCUGGACACGGCCAACAUGAAGGUGUUCCUGGGCAGGGACACUUAUGGAGUGCGGCCCCUCUUCCGACUGCUCAGCCAUCAUGGAAUGCUGGCCGUCAGCUCCGAGGCUAAAGGUCUGGCAGACAUGACUCCGGCUGCUAAGAUCAUUCCUUUCCUGCCGGGACACGUGGAGGUGUUUGACUUGAAGGCCAGCGGAAAAGUGGAGUCUCUUCAGAUGAAAGCAUUUCACGAGUGCACCCAGGAGCCCUAUCAUGUCCUCUGUGACGCCGUGGGUCGUCUGCCAACAAGUCUGGAUGAAGAAAGUGUCAAGGGCAACAUCAGAAUCUUGUUUGAAAAUGCGGUGAGGAAACGUCUGAUGGCCCAAAGGAGGAUCGGCUGUCUUCUCUCAGGGGGUCUGGAUUCCAGUCUGGUGGCCGCCACGCUGGUGAAGCUGGCCAAAGAAGAAGGUCUGCAAUAUCCCGUCCAAACAUUUGCCAUCGGAUCAGAAGACAGCCCGGACAUCUUAGCUGCCCGGAAGGUCGCCGCUCACAUCGGCAGUGAGCACCACGAAGUCAACUUCAGUGUCGAAGAAGGCAUCAGAGCAGUGGAGGAGGUCAUCGUCAGCCUGGAGACCUACGACAUCACCACCAUACGCGCCUCCGUCGGCAUGUAUUUGGUCAGCAAGUACAUCAGAGAGCAGACGGACAGUGUUGUCAUCUUCUCAGGAGAAGGUUCCGAUGAACUCACUCAAGGUUACAUAUACUUUCACAAGGCUCCGAGUGCGGAGGCAGGAUCAGAAGAAAGUGUUCGACUGCUGAAAAACCUUUACCUGUUUGAUAACCUGAGGGCUGAUCGCACCACUGCUGCACACGGGUUGGAGCUGAGAGUGCCUUUCCUGGACCACAGACUGAGCGCCUACUACCUGUCCCUGCCACCUGAGAUGAGGACUCCCAGGCACGGCGUGGAGAAGUUCCUUCUGAGGGACGCCUUCAAAGGUCAAAAUCUGAUCCCUGAUGAGAUUCUGUGGCGACGUAAAGAGGCCUUCAGUGAUGGACUCAUGUCUGAGAAGAAGUCCUGGUACAUGUUCCUGGAAGACCACCUCGACUCUGUGGUGAGCGAGGAGCAGCUGGCCAAGGCAGAGGAGAAUUGCACCCACAACCGUCCUCACACCAAAGAAGCGUGCUUCUACCGGCAGGUGUUUGACACACACUUUCCUGGUCGUGCUGACUUGCUUCCUCACUUCUGGAUGCCUCGCUGGAUUCCUGCCAACGACCCCUCAGAUCGCACGCACGCCGUCUACAAGCUCAACUCCAACCACUGAGCAACUCCCUGCCACCAUCAUAUGGGUCACAUGGAUCAUCAACAAACGACAUCACAGUUUGUCUCGACAUGGGAAGGAAAAGAUUCUUACCUGCAUGCUGCCUCCUGCUGCUUCCUGGGAACCCCACCACCGCUGAAAUGCAAACAGAUUAUUAUCACUUUGCUUCAAAAUAAAUAGUUGUACUACA